UUGGAAGUACCGGUCGGCGCGGAACAGCCACGAAUCCGGAUCCUCGCCAUUGAAUACUGGCAUUUCGACCUUCUUAAAUUUGUUUCUCUCAUUCGCACCCUCUUCGUCCUCAGUCCUCCUCUCCUUCGUUUCGUUCUCACCUCUCCUACUUGUCGAACUCUCUCCUUCAUUACUUUUUCUGCAUCCAGUUUCUUGUGCGCCGUAGUCU
rnacentral:lncRNA from 1 species